rnacentral:rRNA from 1 species
ACUCCUACGGGACGCAGCAGUGAGGAAUAUUGGUCAAUGGACGAGAGUCUGAACCAGCCAAGUAGCGCGAAGGAUGACUGCCCUAUGGGUUGUAAACCUCUUUUAUAAAGGAAUAAAACGAGGCACGUGUGCCUUUUUGCAUGUACUUUAUGAAUAAGGAUCGGCUAACUCCGUGCCAGCAGCCGCGGUAAUACGGAGGAUCCGAGCGUUAUCCGGAUUUAUUGGGUUUAAAGGGAGCGUAGAUGGGUAGUUAAGUCAGAUGUGAACGUUUGCGGCUCAACCGUAAAGUUGCAAUUGAUACUGGG